GAUGAACGCUGGCGGCGUGCUUAACACAUGCAAGUCGAACGAUGAAGCCCAGCUUGCUGGGUGGAUUAGUGGCGAACGGGUGAGUAACACGUGAGCAACCUGCCCCUGACUCUGGGAUAAGCGCUGGAAACGGCGUCUAAUACUGGAUAUGUCCCGUCACCGCAUGGUGUGCGGGUGGAAAGAUUUUUCGGUUGGGGAUGGGCUCGCGGCCUAUCAGCUUGUUGGUGAGGUAAUGGCUCACCAAGGCGUCGACGGGUAGCCGGCCUGAGAGGGUGACCGGCCACACUGGGACUGAGACACGGCCCAGACUCCUACGGGAGGCAGCAGUGGGGAAUAUUGCACAAUGGGCGAAAGCCUGAUGCAGCAACGCCGCGUGAGAGAUGACGGCCUUCGGGUUGUAAACCUCUUUUAGCAGGGAAGAAGCGAAAGUGACGGUACCUGCAGAAAAAGCACCGGCUAACUACGUGCCAGCAGCCGCAGUAAAAC
rnacentral:rRNA from 1 species